rnacentral:rRNA from 1 species
AAAGCGGUACGCGAGCUGGGUUCAGAACGUCGUGAGACAGUUCGGUCCCUAUCCGUCGUGGGCGUUAGAAGUUUGAGAGGAGCUGUCCUUAGUACGAGAGGACCGGGAUGGACGCACCGCUGGUGCACCAGUUGUUCCGCCAGGAGCAUAGCUGGGUAGCUACGUGCGGAAGGGAUAAGUGCUGAAAGCAUCUAAGCAUGAAGCCCCCCUCAAGAUGAGACUUCUCAUCAUUUUAAAUGAGUAAGAUCCCUCAGAGACGAUGAGGUAGAUAGGUUCGAGGUGGAAGCGUGGUGACACGUGCAGCUGACGAAUACUAAUCGAUCGAGGACUUAACUA